GACAUUAAAAUUGUUAUUUGACCUAAAAAAAAAUUUCUCCUUUCGAUCGCCGUCUUCCCAGAUCCCGUUCAUAUGUUUAUUUUUUUCUUUCUACUUCAUCUCUCGAGAAUCUCUCCGUCUUCGUGUUGUGAUGAGUUUGUGGCGGUGAUUGCGUGCAUAUUCCACCAGAUGUAAAAGAAGAUAGAUGGUGAGAGAAAAUCAUGGAUAAGCUUCCUUCUGGGUUUAUAGAUUAGAAGUAGUUCGUCUUUUGUGCUUAUUACAAGUUUUUGGCAAAGAUUCAGGAAGCAUUUGGACUUUUCGUGAUGCCAAACCAGACAUGAACAUCUGGACGGACUUUCAAAUGAUGUUGGAACUGGAUUUACAUUGCCAGCCAUCUUCUUCAGUACACACUAUGGAUCGAGCAGCUGAUUCGCUAGGCUAAGAUUAAACGGGAAUGAUGGGUGUUUCGAAAUCUUUUAAAACGAUUGUUGCCUCACUAAUAUGGAUACACGUCUCAUUGGGGGAUCAGAAGAUGGAUUGGAUCAGAGGAUACAAAUUUUGGUAGUUACAGAAGUGGUUUCGUAAUUUUGAGCUGAUGAUUUAGUGUCAGAUGACAAGUAUGAGUAAAACAUCCUAAAAAGACGGUAAUGCUGACUUCUUCAGUCCAUGGUAUAGUACGUGUUUGGAAAACAUUUAGUGGUUUACCAUCAAAUGACAAAAUCAUGUGAUAUAAUUAGAUGGUUUCUUGGGUGUUCGUGAUUAUUAAUGAAUCAAUUGUUUAAAUACGAAAGCUCUUAAAUUAGAGCCAGGUGCAAACAUAUUAUGUUCUAUGUGCCUAGACUUUAUAAUUAGUCAAAUUACUAACAUUAAUCUAUUUGUAUUGAUAUUGUUAUAUAGCCUGUUUUGAAAUGCAUUUUCUGGCUCUAGACUUAUACGGACUUAUACGGAGUGGCUGGAGAACCUGUGGGAAGAAGACUUUCAGAUCGAACUGUGAGAUGUGCAUAGCAACGAACACUGGGACUAGAUUAUCAGAACCAGUAUGUUGUGGAGUUUCAUACAAGCGCCCAGGUAUACAAUAUAAAAGCAACGGACACAUCUCUCGACAAAAAAGGUCACAACUUUUGGCUUGAGUCAAUAUGACGGAAGAAGCACUAAAAUUCUAUAAAAACGUUGAAGCAGGUCAUCGCACUAAGUGAAAGAAGAAGAAGAAAUACUCUCCACCUUAUGUUUUUAUUUUCUUUGUACCCAACUAACUAUCGACCUUACGUUUAUAUCUAUCAUUUAGUUUGUUAAAAAUUAAGAAAAUAUGCUAUUUUGCAUGUUAUGUUGUUAACAUUCAUUUGUCCCAAAAGAAAAGAAAGACGUUAUUCAUAUUGUUAAA